AUUUUAUAUUGUGAUAGUUAUCAUUUUAUAUUGUGAUAAUUAUCAUUUUAUAUUGUGAUAAUUAUCAUUUUAUAUUGUGAUAGUUAUCAUUUUAUAUUGUGAUAGUUAUCACCACACAACAAAGAGAAGAACUCAGCGUUAAUGUUUAUUAUGGGGAACUUCAUAUGACGGAACGAUCUUAACGGAGGUAAUAUGAUAAUUAUUGGUUUUACACUGCUCUUAUAAGUAAUGUACUUUACUUUAUUGUUUUCUCUAUUAGGAAACAAUGAGUUGAUAGUCACAGUUCUCGUCAUCGACACCUUGAUUAUCCAGUUUCGUUUUACAAGUAUACAUUUAACAGAGAGCUUUAACAUUGCAAUGCUUCAAUACCAAAAUGGCUGUUUUUUUAGUUAGACAACAACUGUAUUUAAUCCAGCGUUUACCUGAGGGCUGCAGCAGUCUCCCUGUCUUUGGUGGACUCCUUUCAUCGUUGUGGAUUGAGAGAUGAUUUUUAGAUAUUGUCUUAGUUCUAUUUCCAUGAUCAAUCCCCUUAAAUAUCACUUCUUAUCAAUGUCAUCUGAUUAACCUGCUCAAAUACAUACAUCAUACACAAAUACAUACAUACAUACAUACACACAGACAGACAGACAGACAGACAGACAGACAGACAGACAGACAGACACACAUACACACACAGACAGACAGACAGGCAGGCAGGCAGGCAGGCAGGCAGGCAGGCAGACAGGCAGACAGACAGACAGACAGACAGACAGACAGACAGACAGACAGACUGUAUGUUUGUAAUUGUAUGUUCCUUCUUAUUCACAGCAUUGCUGUAAAACCAUGGAUUCCAUUGAUACUAUUUUUGCUAAGGAAAUGCUCUCUUUUUUUCACACUAACCUGGUCUGCCUUAACAAAACAAACCUUAAGAUACAUACAAACAAAAACAUAAUAACAAAAAACACAAUUUACCUCAUGUUUUACCUGCACCUUUAGUGGCAGUGUGAGAUAGGAACCUCAUGUUUUACCUGCACCUUUAGUGGCAGUGUGAGAUAGGAACCUCAUGUUUUACCUGCACCUUUAGUGGCAGUGUGAGAUAGGAACCUCAUGUUUUACCUGCACCUUUAGUGGCAGUGUGAGAUAGGAACCUCAUGUUUUACCUGCACCUUUAGUGGCAGUGUGAGAUAGGAACCUCAUGUUUUACCUGCACCUUUAGUGGCAGUGUGAGAUAGGAACCUCAUGUUUUACCUGCACCUUUAGUGGCAGUGUGAGAUAGGAACCUCAUGUUUUACCUGCACCUUUAGUGGCAGUGUGAGAUAGGAACCUCAUGUUUUACCUGCACCUUUAGUGGCAGUGUGAGAUAGGAACCUCAUGUUUUACCUGCACCUUUAGUGGCAGUGUGAGAUAGGAACCUCAUGUUUUACCUGCACCUUUAGUGGCAGUGUGAGAUAGGAUGACUCAGGAAUUCUAGAACCAGAACCUUGAUAAUCCUUACUUCAGGUAUUCUAGAAGCCUGAUAAUCCUUCAGGUAUUCUAGAAGCCUGAUAAUCCUUCAGGUAUUCUAGAAACCUGAUAAUCAUUACUUCAGGUAUUCUAGAAGCCUGAAAGUCCUUCAGGUAUUCUAGAAGCCGGAUAAUCCUCCAGGUAUUCUAGAAGCCUGAUAAUCCUUACCUCAGGUGUUCUAGAACCCUGAUAAUCCUUCAGGUAUUCUAGAACCCUGAUAAUCCUUACUUCAGGUAUUCUAAGAAUUCCGAAGACAUGUCGGCACUUUGUGGUCUGAUGCUGAUGCAAUAUCUCCUCACCAUUUCAAACUACCUCCGAUUUCCACCGCAACAACCUGAAAACUCCAACCUCAAGGAAUGCACACUGCCCUGCUACACAGUACUGCACAGUACCACACAGUACUAAAUAGUAGUACACAGUACCACACAGUACUAAAUAGUACUACGCAGUACUACAUAGUAUUACUACACACAACAAUGCAUGGGGUGGCAGUGUGUGUGUGUGUGUGUGUGUGUGUGUCAACGAGCUAACUUGUUAUAAAAGUUGUUGUCUUGUGUCUCACAGUGGAACAGACAUGUUCCGUGUAAUGUUCUGUGUAAAUCUGACAGGUAAUUUACUGAAAUCAGGAGUUUUAAAAAAAAAAUAUAUAUAUAUAAUUCCUUUGUAGAACUCAUAAGCAGCUAAUGGAAGAAGCACUGUGGUGUCUUUAUUUGACAUGAACAUUAGUGUUUGUGUAUCUAAGUCAGUCCUAACGAGACACCCACUUCUACCUUUCCUCAACUGGGCCUUCUGUUUGACAAACUGUUCACUUGAAUAUAUAUUUGUUUUUCUGAUUUACUCAACGUUUUUUUUUUUUUAUAUUAAGAAUCAAGUGCUUGUGUGACACGACACGAUAUUAUUGUUUGUUUGUUUGUUUUUGCUCAGAUUUUUUUUUCUGAACUAUUUCAUCUACAUUACGUACCUCAAACAAACUGAUUAAAAAAAAAUGGACUUAUAAUCGAUUGACAAAUACCUACCUCCAGUCUUGAAAAGGAAUUUUUUUUUUUUUUGCCGGGUUUCUUUCUAUAUCAGUGCGAGUUUUGAUAAUGUAUGAUGAAAUCUAUCGAUAUUAAGGACUGCGAAAGAUCCCUUACUCAAAAGGUAUAUUUUUUUUUUUGUAACUUGUUUUCAAAACUUCUGAACCAAGUCAAUGUUGACUUCACCCUGCGGAAGAAAUAACCUUUAAAAAAAAAAAUUGUAUCUUGAAGAUUUUCAGGUUUUGAAAAAUAUAUGUUUGGGGUUUUUGUAUAUUGUAUUCAUGGAUUUUGUUGUUUUUGUUAAUUAGUAGAUAUUGAUAUACUUGAUUAGUUAUUUUGUGUACUUUUACGACACGUGAUUUUCUCUUUCUUGUUGUUAUGGUUCAACCAGAUGUAUACGAAAAUGCUUCUUUAAGUAGUGAUGGGUUACAACGUUUAAAUGUUAACAUGGUAUAUUCUCACACGGGCCUGAGGUAGGGAGCCUCAGAGAGUUAGUCAAACAACCCAACAUGCCCUUUCCACUCACACAGGCCUGGGGUAGGGAGCCUCAGAGAGUUAGUCAAACAACCCAACAUGCCCUUUCCACUCACACAGGCCUGGGGUAGGGAGCCUCAGAGAGUUAGUCAAACAACCCAACAUGCGUGUCUCAGUCGGAGACUUCCGAGUUUCUCAGUCGGAGACUUCCGAGUUUCUCAGUCGGAGACUUCCGAGUGUCUCAGUCGGAGACUUCCGAGUGUCUCAGUCGGAGACUUCCGAGUGUCUCAGUCGGAGACUUCCGAGUAUUCUCAGUCGGAGACUUCCGAGUGUCUCAGUCGGAGACUUCCGAGUCUCUGUCGGAUAGUUGCGAGUUACUCAGUAGGAUACUUCCAAGUUUCUCAGUCGGAUACUUCAGAGUUUCUCAGUUUGAGACUUCCGAGUUUCUCAGUCGAAUACUUCUGAGUUUCUCAGUCGGAUACUUCAGAGUUUCUCAGUCGGAGACUUCCGAGUUUCUCAAUCAAAUACUUCCGAGUUUCUCUGUCGGAUACUUCCGAGUUUCUCAGUUUGAGACUUCCGAGUUUCUCAGUCGGAUACUUCCGAGUUUCUCAGUCGGAUACUUCCGAGUUUCUCAGUCGGAGACUUCCGAGUUUCUCAGUCGGAGACUUCCGAGUUUCUCAGUCGGAGACUUCCGAGUGUCUCAGUCGGAGACUUCCGAGUUUCUCAGUCGGAGACUUCCGAGUUUCUCAGUCGGAGACUUCCGAGUGUCUCAGUCGGAGACUUCCGAGUGUCUCAGUCGGAGACUUCCGAGUGUCUCAGUCGGAGACUUCCGAGUUUUUCAGUCGAAUACUUCCGAGUUUCUCAGUCAAAUACUUCCGAGUUUCUCAGUCGGAGACUUCCGAGUCUCUGUCGGAUAGUUGCGAGUUACUCAGUAGGAUACUUCCAAGUUUCUCAGUCGGAUACUUCAGAGUUUCUCAGUUUGAGACUUCCGAGUUUCUCAGUCGAAUACUUCUGAGUUUCUCAGUCGGAUACUUCAGAGUUUCUCAGUCGGAGACUUCCGAGUUUCUCAGUCAAAUACUUCCGAGUUUCUCUGUCGGAUACUUCCGAGUUUCUCAGUUUGAGACUUCCGAGUUUCUCAGUCGGAUACUUCCGAGUUUCUCAGUCGGAUACUUCCGAGUUUCUCAGUCGGAGACUUCCGAGUUUCUCAGUCAAAUACUUCCGAGUUUCUCAGUCGGAGACUUCCGAGUCUCUCAGUCGGAUACUUGCGAGUUACUCAGUAGGAUACUUCCGAGUUUCUCAGUUGGAUACUUGCGAGUUUCUCAGUCGGAUACUUCCGAGUUUCUCAGUUUGAGACCUCCGAGUUUCUCAGUCGGAUACUUCCGAGUUUCUCAGUCGGAGACUUCCGAGUUUCUCAGUCGAAUACUUCCGAGUGUCUCAGUCGGAUACUUCCGAGUUUCUCAGUCGCAUACUUCCGAGUUUCUCAGGUGGAUCCUUCCGAGUGUCUCAGUCGAAUACUUCCGAGUUUCUCAGUCGAAUACUUCCGAGUUUCUCAGUCAGAUGCAUACUUCAGAAUUUCCUAUUUUCCUGAGGAAGGCAGCAUUAGUUUCUUCACACACUAUUACUGUCCAGAAUGUUCCCUGAACUGUAUCAUUGGGUGGGUUCAUCUGUCAUAACAACUCUUGAUAACUCUCAGGUACAUAACAAUCAAAACAGAGAGCGUAGGUUGAUCAAGAACCAGCCUAUUGUUGACGAGGUGAAGUCAUAGUGGGCCUAUGCUUUAUGUCGACGCCGUUUGACAGCUGCCUUGGUUUUGAAACGGCUUCGUAGGGCCUACCUGUGUGAGUUGGUCGAUCACAUGUUGUGGCUUUGAAAAGCACGGCCUAGAAACAGAUAGACUUCACGGCUGAGAAGAACAAUGGCUUUGUCUAAAUACGCCACAAGCAGGUUAAAAAUCCUUUGCUUACUGCUUCCUCGUUGCCGUAAUUCCUCUCAAAGCUCAUUGGAGGUGUGGCUCUACGGGUUCCUCCUCUCGGGAACUUCUCCUCCAAUGAGCUUUGAGACAAAUUGAGGAAACAAGGACAGGUUAGGGGGUGAAGCAAGUCAUUGACGGCUAGUACUGUUUUGAGACGCAGCCAUCGCCAGACUGUCGAUCAUCAGCAUGAAAAGCUAUAAGAGAUUUUAUUUUUAAACAUUUUAAAAAAAAAAGGGCUAAACACUGUGGUGCUCAUAGCUGACACUGAUUAUAUCAUAGGAGGUAAUGACGUUCCAAUGUUGGAGCUCCAUGAACAUUGGACUAUUUUUCAUAAAUAUAUAUAAUAAUAUAUAUAUAUAAAUAUAAUUAUUAUAUAUAUAUAUAAUUAUAUAUAUAAUUAUAUAUAUACUCGAGUUCUAAAGUGUAAGAGUAUUAAAAAACAACAACAAUUGAAACAAUGUUUUUUUUUUUUUUUUUGGGAUGUUUUACCUCAUGUUGGUGUGAAUGUGUAACUAUGGAAACCACUGUUUUGUUGACGCGCUUUGAGCUCUCGAGUCUUAAUGAAGAUGAUCCCCGUUCUAGAACAGUCCCAAUACACAUUACUACCUCCAACAAACAAACAAAAAAGGGCCUACUGUUACCUCAUUUUUCAAACUAAGCCUGCGCCCAAAUGGCACCCUAAUCCCUAUGUUAGUGCACUCCUUUUGACCAGGGAGUGCACUACUUUUGACCGGAGCCUUUACGGGACCAGUCCGCUAUAUAGAGACUAGGGUGCAAUUUGUGACGCAAGCUUAAAUAUCUGCUUCGUAAAACUCAUGGUGACGAAAGAGAACAGGGAGAACAUCGUAAAAUUUUCAUAUAUAUAUAGUUUAUUUUUUUUUGUCGGGGGAUAAAUUUUAUAAGACUGUUUCUUCUCUGCCUCUCAGUCACCUCUAGGUAAGACUGGACAUGUAAUUUGUAAUUUUUUUUAAAGAACAUUUUCUGACAUUAUGCAAUGUUCCGUAGUUAUAUUAAUCUGUGGAGGGGAGAGGCGGCGGUGGGGGGGUUGGGGGGGGGGGAAUAAACAUAAUUUCUGUCUUUGACACCGUCUCCCUCAGUAGAACGUCAUGUCUUCUAUCCCAACUUGCAUCGCCUCCUCUCUAUCCACCUAGUAUUGCUGUCUUCAAUUACACAUCCACAUUACUUGUUUGAAUAUACAAGACAAAACCCAAGUUAUCUUAAUAGAUAUUUACAGCCUUGUUUCAGCACAAUAAUAAAAUAAAAAAAACUAAAAUAUG